UAUCGGCGACUCACACCUAUAUCUCCACCUCUCGACCUAAUAGGCCACGCACACACCCACACACCAUUAUUCCGCGUCACCAACAUCGGCGACUCACACUCACUCCUCCACCUCUCGACCUAAAGAGGCCACACACACACACAAAUACCAUCAUCUCGCGUCACCAACAUCGGCGACUCAUACUCACUCCUCCACCUCUCGACCUAAAGAGGCCACACACACACACAAAUACCAUCGUCUCGCGUCACCAACAUCGGCGACUCAUACUCACUCCUCCACCUCUCGACCUAAAGAGGCCACACACACACACAAAUACCAUCCUCUCGCGUCACCAACAUCGGCGACUCAUACUCACUCCUCCAUCUCUCGACCUCGUUGGGCCACGCACACACACAAACAUUUCCACCUCCCGUCACCACCAUCCGUGACUCAUGCACCCUUCUACCCCUCUCGGCCUUGCUAGGCCACACUCACAUACAUAUCCCCUCCCUGCUCCACCAACAUCGGCAACUCAACCCGCCCCUACCAACGGCCUCCAAAUCUCCCCUCCCAAACCGCAUGCUCCCAUCUCCCCUUAUACCAUGCUAGUCCCAAGCAUUCUAACUUACUAACUCCUACUGACCACAUUACUCCUCUUCUCCCAUCCAAUCCCCCUCAAAUCCUGCUUCCUAGUCCCCUCUGCCGUACCUUCCAGCUCCCUUCCCUCUCCCACUGCCCCCUACCCACUACCUCCCCCAUCCUCCUGCCUCCUCCCGGUUCCUAUACACUUUUGCCUACCUAGGGCGAUUAACCUCUCAGCUUGCACCGUUUCACGCCACAUACACGCCCUCACCACCGUGCAUUUCGGGGAAACACAUCACCGCCUAUUAACGGCUCCCUCCAUAUCCCCACCCACGCACACACCACACACACACCUCUUCUGUCCUCUCGAGUUUUUAUCCCACCCGCGCCCCCUAGAUUGUUCUCUCACAUCCUCCUCACUCUGUUCUACCCGUACCACCCCCAUCCUUCCCCACGGCUCCCCCCCACACGCCCCCAACACCGCCAUACUUUCCCUUCCUUCCCCGAUCACCUCCGUGAGCGCGCGGGACAACCCCACGCUUACGGCCUACCUUCACUGCUCCACUCCGUCGCGCCAUUGCCGACGCCGCAACCUGCAACCAAAUUUCUCUACACACACACACCACACCAAACAACUCAAAUUUUCACCGUACCUCCCGUUUCCAUCCUUCUUCUUCCUGCCGGUCGCGUCGUCCGUCCACGGCCUCCUUCCCUCUCCCUUCUCGCUCCCCUCCGCCCCGACUCUCUCCUCUCUCCUUCUGGAACUUUCCUCUUCUUCUUCGUCUCCGCUGUCCUCCUUCCCUCCUUUUCUCUUUUUCUCUUUUUCCUUUUCUUUCUUUUUUUUCUUUUCUCCUUUUUUUUUUCUCCCUUUCCCGACCUCCUUUUAUACUCUGUCAGCCUACCCCAAAACGACGUCGUUUUCCUACAUCCCAAAACGACGUCGUUUUUCUUUCUUUCAAAACGACGUCGUUUUUCCCCUCUCUAAAACGACGUCGUUUUUCCCCUCUCUAAAACGACGUCGUUUUUAUUAUUAUUAUUAUUUUUUUUUUCUUUCUAUUCUUUCUACUUUCUAGUCCUUACAAUUUUAGUGGAAUUCUUCAAUUCAUUCACUCUCUCAUUAUUUUACUCACAUGAAUAUUUUCUAUAAUUAUGAAAAUUUAUCUUUGAAUUUUAUUUAAUUCCUGAAAAAUGAUCAAUACACAAAAUCUAAAAAACUAAGAACCCAUCCUUGAAAAUUUUGCAUUAAAAAUUUGGAGAAUCCAAAUCGAAUUGUUAUAUUCAAAAAUUUUAAAAUAGUUAUAUUUUUUAUAAGAUUAUAAAUAUUAAAUUAUGGGUUUAUUAAAUAGGAAAAUAUAAUUGGUCAUUGCCAUUAAUCCAAUGAAAAACAAAAAUCAUAAUCUCAUUAAUCGGUAUCGGGCCUUUUCAAACUAAUAAAUAAAUUUAUAAUGGAGAUAGAUAAUUAAUUUAUUAUAAUAUUAAAUUAUUUAAACAUUUCGAAGUAAAUAUUUUUGUCACUACCAACCAAACGUUGUUGUGUGCUUAUUAUCCUAAGUCGCGGAUUUGUAGGCCCACAUUAACAUUAUGACACGUGGCUGUUUUUGAUUCGACACUUAUAUCAAGCACCAGAUAACCUCCCAAAACCCUCUUCUGAUAUGUAAUUUACCAGUUAAUCAAAAACCCUACUUCGCGCUCCUAUCAUCUCCGUUAUCCCCCGUGAAAAAACAUAAACUGAUUUUGCACAACCCGGAAAUUCUCGAGAAAAUGAACCAAUCGUCCAAACAACAGCUCCAGUUAAAUAUUCAUCAGGUCUUCACCAACAUCCAAACUCAUUGCUCUGGAUUCCUCCAUAAUCUCUCCCAAAAC
rnacentral:lncRNA from 1 species